GUACAGCAAAAAAAAAAGCACAAUGUAAAAUCUCAAUAUUACAUCGCGGCAUAACCUGAACAAAAAAUAUAACAGCAGAUCCAUAACGUUGUACAGAAAGAAAAGGACAAAACUGGUUAUCAGCAUCAGUCUGUUUCAAAGAAGUCUUCAAACCAACGAAAACAGACAGGAAGAAGGACAAACUUUUGUUUAAAAUGAAUAGAGCGUCCAGGUGUUGCUGAAGCAGGAGAGAGGUUCAGCUCCUGGAGAGCAGAGGAGCUUUGUGACCUUCUCAUGUAGUCCAAACGGUCUCACGGUGGGCCUCACUGUCCAGACUCUCCCCUCGUUUCUGUUUCCAGGGUUGAGAUGUGGAGGAUGGUGGUGCCAGAUUUACAACAGGGCCAGUUCUGGCCCAAGAGGACCUCUAAAGGGGCCUAAUGUUACUCUAAGGUCCAAGGCCCUUCUGUUAUUUUCAGAGAGAGACUGGAAGCCAAAACAGACACUCCAUCUAAACAUGAAUCAGAUUCUCAACUGCGAUACAUUUCUAGAAACAUAAAACCCUUUUACUUCCAUAUCACAUCGAAAUAAUUUAGCAAAUGUAAAAUACACAUUUCCUGAAGUGGUGUGAAGUCCUUUAGUGAAACGUUUUGGGGUAUCUGUACUACAUUCCUAAAAAUAAUGUACUUUUUACUCCAUACAUUUUCCCUGACACCCAAAAAGUACAUUUUGAAUGCUUAGCAGGACAGGAAAUGGUCUGAUUUAUACACUCAUCAAGAGAACAUGGUCAUUCAUACUUUUGAUCCGUAAGUAUAUUUUAGCAAUUAUGUUGACUUUUUAUACUGAUGUAUAUUUAAAACCAAAGACUUUCACUCAAAGAACAAACUUUUGUUUAAAAAUGAAUAGAGCGUCCAGGUGUUGCUGAAGCAGGAGAGAGGUCCAGCUCCUGGAGAGCAGAGGAGCUUUGUGACCUUCUCAUAAGGUCGUAUUUUACUGGGUGACUCACUUUUCUAUUAAAGUAUCAUUACUUUUACUCAGGUAUGAGAAUGUAUUUUUUACACUGCUGCUGUACACCGUUUUGACCAGCCGACAGAAUAUUUCAGUGACAACACGUUUUCUGGCGGUCUGCUUCCAUUACACACAGGUGUCAGGUGCACGCUAGAUAUCUAACUAGCACAGGUGUCAGGUGCACGCUAGAUAUCUAACUAGCACAGGCGUCAGGUGCACGCUAGAUAUCUAACUAGCACAGGCGUCAGGUGCAUGCUAGAUAUCUAAUUAGCACAGGUGUCAGGUGCACGCUAGAUAUCUAAUUAGCAUAGGUGUCAGGUGCAUGCUAGAUAUCUAAUUAGCACAGGUGUCAGGUGCAUGCUAGAUAUCUAAUUAGCACAGGUGUCAGGUGCACGCUAGAUAUCUAAUUAGCACAGGUGUCAGGUGCAUGCUAGAUAUCUAAUUAGGAUAGGUGGUGUCUCGGUGGUCCGUCGACACUGUAACAUGGAUUCAUUUAAACUGGACACAGCAGAUCAUCUAGAUGACAGCAUCAACAGAGAAAAUACCUUUCUGAAAACUCGCCCCCGACUCCAAAACCAUCUGAUUCCUAAUGAAAACGGAAAAACCUUUCUGAAAUAAAUAGCUUCUCAUUUUCAGUUUAUUGAGAAAUAAUUGUAAUUAUUGAAUUGGAAUUUCAGUUUAUUUCCUGAACUGACCGACUUCUAUUGGAAUGGAUCCCAACAGGCCCCUGACCUCUGACCUCUGUGGAGCAGGACAGAUUGAGGAUGCAUCCCAACAGGCCCCUGACCUCUGUGGAGCAGGACAGAUUGAGGAUGCAUCCCAACAGGCCCCUGACCUCUGUGGAGCAGGACAAAUUGAGGAUGCAUCCCAACAGGCCCUGACCUCUGUGGAGCAGGACAGAUUGAGGAUACAGGCCCCUGACCUCUGUGGAGCAGGACAGAUUGAGG
ensembl:lncRNA